UCCCUGGCAGUUCAGGGGUUAGGACUCAGCACUUGCACCGCUGGAGCCCGGGUUCAAUCCCUGGUCAGGGAU
rnacentral:tRNA from 1 species